rnacentral:rRNA from 1 species
GCAUAUCAAUAAGCGGAGGAAAAGAAACACAAGUGGAUUGCCUUAGUACGGCGAGUGAGCGGCAAAAGCUCAAAUUUGAAAUCCUCAGGGAAUUGUAAUUUGAAGGUGGCUCUAACAAUUCUUAAAAACCCCUAAGUCCAUUGGAAAAUGGCGCCAUGGAGGGUGAUAGCCCCGUCUGGAUCAGUUUUUAAGAACCUUUUUAGAACCUCCAAAGAGUCGAGUUGUUUGGGAAUGCAGCUCUAAGUGGGUGGUAAAUUCCAUCUAAAGCUAAAUAUUGGCGAGAGACCGAUAGCGAACAAGUACAGUGAUGGAAAGAUGAAAAGCACUUUGAAAAGAGAGUGAAAAAGUACGUGAAAUUGUUGAAAGGGAAGGGCUUGCAAGCAGACACAACCUUCACGGUUGGGCCAGCAUCGGGGAGAAAGGAGGUAAAAAAAAGUCGAAGGAAUGUAGCUUUUUCUAAAGUGUUAUAUCCUUUCUCUUACACCCCCAUUUCUUCCCGAGGCCUGCGUUUUAUUUCUAGGAUGCUGGCGUAAUGGUUGCAAGUCGCCCGUCUUGAAACACGGACC